GCAACUCUCCACGCAAGCAAGCCAGAGGAGGGAAGCAAAAGCGGGCCACGGAGGAGUUAUAAAAUCAAGGGAGUGACAAGACUGUGCCCCGGUGGCUCAGUGCUCUCGGGAGUGGGCCAGGAAAGGGUCUGGAAAUUUCUCAGGCCCUACCUCCCACAGGGGGCCACACUUCCUCAGAUGCCACAGCCCCUGGGCACAGGCCCAGCCCCUCCACUCAGUCACGGUCUCUGCUGGGGUGCUGCCCCUGCGCUGUGCUUUGAUGAUCUCUUCCCCACUCCUGUUCUUCUGGGACGCGCUUCCUCUGGGCAGAGCUGCCUGCCCGGCACGGUCCGCAGAGAAGCCUCAGGCGGCGUCUCCUUGGUGGUCUCUGCAUGGAGAGGAAGCUGCAGCAGUCUCCGGCCUGGCCCACAUCCCAUGGAACCAACUCCAUGUGCAGCAACAAAGCACCGGACCUGCUGGAACCAGGGACCCAACCGUGAACGAGCAACAGAGUCCGGGGUGCAGGGACUCACAGUCGCCUCCUGCUGGCCUCCUUCGACGGAAGAGGACUCCUGCUGCUAGUCCUGGGUGCAGCAAGGGGCCUUAGCAGCUGGAGGGACAAUGGCACAGCAGUGAUGGGGCAGACGGAGGCCAUGGAGCCUGCGACAUCACUGCAGCCACAUGAGCUUCUUGGGGGAGCCAACGGCCCCUCCGUUUCUGAGCUGUGAGCCCCCACCCUCUGCCACGUGGCUAGAAUGCUAUUUCUGCCCCCAGAAACCUGGGGUACAGGAAGCUGGCUGAGUCCUGGCCAAGCACGUCUUUUCAAAGGGAGCAAGGAAAAUUGCUGGGUGCGGCCUGGCACCCCCGGCUCCCCGCACCAGAGCUGCCCGAGGUUGGGGGCCGCUGUGCCCUGUACUGUCCAGUGUCCACACAGUGUCCAGGAUGGGCCCAGGGCCCUGCUCCCUGCAGGGGCUUGGCACGGAGGUGUCGGUACAAAAACUCCACCUCUGCUUCAGCGUGCCCACCCAGGGUUGGGAGGGAGGAGAAGGUUCCAGAAAGAGGAUGGUGUAACAGAGCUGGAAACUUCCCCAAGAAACUUCUAAAGGGUUGGGGAGAGAUCAGACGGUGCCUUGAGGUGCCCUCCCCUGUCCCCAUUCCCAGGAAGGCCUUUUCUCCAACCCUUUGGCGGGAGAGACCAGACAUGUCCCCGACAGCCCUGCACAGUACGGGCAGCCCCGUCCUGUGGCAGCUAAGGAGCCAGUGGGAUCUGCAGGUGUGGCACAGGAGGGAGACCAGGGCCAUCAGCCUCUCUGGACAUGGCCUGGCUGAGGUGUGGGAAGAGACACGAUAGGGCAAGAAGCUUCCAGAAGGGAGGGCCAAGGCACCUUCCUUUGCGUGUGGGGGACAGGCGGGCGGCCAGCCAUCCGCAGGGCAGAAGCAGCAGUGGGAGGGAGGUCCGGGCUCUGCCCAGCUCACAGGGCAGGUCCAAUUGGGGCGCCUCACAUAUCACUGUCAGGGACAGACCAGACAGAGGGGGUGACACUGUCACUUUCUGGGUCAGAUGCCUGAGGCAGGGUGGGGGAGCAGCGCGUGGGGUGCCCCUAUACCUUGGCCUUUGGGAUUUGGGGGGAGGGGGAGAACAAAUGCUGCCCUGGCAGGUGUCCUUGGAGCCCGGCCCAACCGUGCCUGGCCGAGCCCUCGCCAGCUGUAGCCCUGAGCAGCGGCUGGCAGAGCUCAGGGACUCACUGCCGCUUGUUUGUUUGCCUCUGGGCUUAGGGGUCAUUCCUGGCUGUGCUGGGAGUCAAACCUGGUCGGCAUGCUCAGGGCAUGUCUGAGCCCCUGCACUCUGCACCCAUUUCCUGGGAAUGUGGGCUUCUCCUCUGGGGGAGAUUCUGCCACUGGUCCCCCGGAGAUUUGGGGGGAUGGGCUGCAGGAUUCUGGGCUGGGGUAGGCAGCCCAGGGCCCCUGCCUUGUGCUGCUGUGAAGAUACUGUGCACCCAACCCCAGCACCCUGACAAGUGCUGGGCAGAAAGGUUGCUUGUUGCUCUCAGCAGACUCGGGGGGCAUGGAGGGUUCUGAGAGGGGUAUCAGGGCAUGAAUGGGUGGCACCAGCUGCUUACAGUACGGCAGUGGGGGCAGUUUCCUCCGGGAGGCUGUGCUUGGGCCCCCAUGCUGGUGCUGUGGUACCAGGUCCUCACCACAGCGAGGAGUCCUCCCAGGCCCUGGUGCACCCUUCACUGUCGAUGGUCCUGACCUCUCUCCUGCCCAGGUGCCCCUCGUCUGUGAUGCUCCGUGGAGGGGUGCCCUGGGCCCAGGGGCCUCAUUCAGAGCCUCUGGGACAAGCAGGACAUAUAGGGGCAUCUCAGCUCUGACUCAGGUCAGGGGUCCCUGCGGAAGCGCCCAGACCCAGCAGAGCUGCAGACAUGGGGGCAGCCGCUGCCCUAUCUGAGGACUGCUGGGCACAGAAGCUGCAGGCUGCGGGUGACCCCCUUUGCCCCUGCAGUACCUGUGCCUGAGAAUUGGGGCCUCUGGGGUGUCCACUUCCUGCAAGCGUCCCCACACUGGGCCUCGGGCAUGUCCCUGCACGUGAGGGCACCGUGCGGCCCUCGUCUGAGUGGGAGACAGUAGUGUCUCUGCUGGCUUCCUCGGCCCAAUAAAAUGGCUCAGCGAAACCCUUAAUGAAGCGGGCAGGGGCAGGUGGGAGUGGCCAGGCGAGUCGGGGCACGGUCUGUGCUCAGCAGAGCUUGAGCUAUUGACAGGAUCCUGGCGGACUGCUGACCUGGUGUCCGGCCCCUGUCCAAGCUGCCCUCUGCACCCCACUCUCAGGCUGGGCGGGGAAGGCCCGAGCCCUUUAGGAGCAACACUGGGGGGCACGGCAGGGGGGCCACUCUCCAGGCUCAGCCCCUUCUGCACUCCUUGGAGAGGAGAGGACAGAUUUCAGAACCCAGAGGAGGGUGCUGGGCCCAGGCUGCUUGCUUCUCAGAGCACAGGGCGUUGCCCUGGGGGUGUUUGUUCUGCCUCCUGUACCUCUGCUAGGGCCCCAACGGGGCUGCUGCCCAGGGCAGACCAGGGCACAUAACCCACAGCUCUGCCUGCCAGGAGCUUCCCCACCCCCAGGUUUUCUCUUGUUAAAGAACCAAAACCAUUUUGGGACCUGAGCGAUAGUACAGCAGGGAGGGUGUUUGCCUCACACGCAGCUGACCCGGGUUCCCGGGCAUCCCACAUGGUCCCCCGAGCACCAGGAGUGAUUCCUGAGUACAGAGCCAGGAGUAACCCUGAGCAUUGCUGGACGAGGCCCCCAAACAAAAUAAAAUGAAACAAGAACCAAAACCAUUUUCUCCCCCUCAAAUAACUCAAACUUGGCAUGGGAAAUUGAGAAACCCACUGAAAGGGAAGGGAAAGGCCUGAGGUCGAGUUGAGAGGACCUGCAGAGGUCUCUGUCUUGAUUCGACAUGGUAAGACCCACUGAGCUGACCCUUGGGGCUGGGCAGAGAGAGCAUCGGGCAGGAUUCUGGCCUUGCAUACAGCCAACAGGGGUUCAAUUCCCCUUAUUUUAUGUGGUCCCGAGCUGGUCUGGAGUGAUCCAAGUGCAGAGCCAGAAGAGAGCCCUGAGCACAGCUGGGUGUGGCCCCCAAACCAAAAGUAUUUCAGAAGAUAAAUGUGGGGACCAGUGGGUGAAGGGCUGACACGGGGGUGUCACCUGAGGCCCCCAUGGGGGAAGGGGAGGGGCUGGUCUGGGCCCUGUGUACGCUCUCAAUGCUAGCUGCAUGGCUCUGCCAUGGCUGUGAACUUAGCCCUGCUCCGAGGGGAUGGAUGGCCAGGCCAGUAAUGGUCUUUUGCAGAGCCACACCUGGUGGGAAAGGCCAUCUCUGGGCUCCACCCACCAGGGCCCUGAGGGGAAACACCCGCCUUCCCAGUUCGGAGGAUGCCGGUUUCUCAGCACUUCUGCCGGACAUGGCCUGCAGGGCCGAGGUCUUGUUCUGGGCCCUAUCCGCUGUACACGAUGUUCGCUGUCGGUGUGACCAGGCGUUUGGCGAGUGCCUCGGAAAUAAGUGUGGGGCCUCCAGGGAGUGACUGCUGUUUCCUGAGUCACUGAUCUCACUCCCGUCAUGCCUGACACACACGACCAACUCAGCAUGUCCCUCACAACCUGCCCCGUGCAUGCAAAGCCUCAGCGUCUAUGGCCCAGGCUUCCUGGCUGUCUGCUCUAUCUUUGGGCCACAUCCGGCAGUAGUCAGGACCAUGUGUGGUGUCAGGGAAUUGACCUGGGUCAGCCGCAUGCAAGGUAAGGGCCCUCCCAGCUAUGCUGGCACCCCAGCACCCCCGUGCUUCUGAGACGACUUG